ACGGCUGCAAGGUGAAAACUCAAAUGAAUCAACAAAGGCCCGCACAAGUGGCAAAGCAUGUGGUUAAUUCGAUGUAA
rnacentral:rRNA from 1 species